CCUGCAAUCGGUGCGCGGAGUCUGAGCGAUCCCAGCCUAGAGAUUCGGUUUCUUGUUGUGACUAUUGCCUGAGCCUUUCGGAGAAUUCGGUAUUGCUAUGCUAGUCUGCUUGUAGAGUGAAUUGGGGGCCAUUUCUCCUGAGAUAGGCAGCAUGGUACCAGCUAUAACCUCCUUGAACUGGCUACUUGAAAGAAGUCUUCCUUCAGUGAUAUCACUUCUUCCAAGAUACAGAAGCCAAAAUAUGGAGUCCACAAAAAAUAGUGAUAAAUCUGGAAACAGCCUACAGGGAUCUUCACUCUGGAUCAUUCUUUAUGUUUAGCACCACCCCAGAUCUUCAACUACCUAAUAUAGAACCCUGGACAUUUUUCUGUGGAAAAAAAAAAAUCAACUAGAGAAGCGUCAGACUCUGAGAUACCAGCAUGCUGAGGAUAAUAGCCAAUGAAGCCAAGAUGUGCUGAAAUCUGACUACUUCAGGAUUAUGUGGAAUGAGGAAAUUUGGAGCUUCUGCUUUUAAACCCUUUUGGAAAUGCACUGGAGACAACUAGUURCUUCUUAUUAUUACACAAAGAAAGCUGCCUGUGAAAGGGUAUGCGGAGUUAAAGGAUAUAUUCAUCAUAUUUGAAGAAUAGCUUACAUUGUCUCAUUACUCAUCCUUAUAUAAAAAGAUCCAAAUUAAGGAACUACACACUCCUAUUUGUCAAAGGAAAAUGUCACUGGUGAGUUACCAAAAAGAUGAGCUUAGGAGUAAUAUUUGAAUAGAAAAUAACUUUUCAGAUG